UCAAGACUUGAACUCAGAUCCAACAAGACGGAUAAAGGGAAGGCACCAGGACUAGGAAGGAAGUGAGAAGAAGGGAAGGGAGCUUCUCCUUGGGGUCAGCAGUUUAGGCCCCACUUCCUCUGAGCCGACUGUGACCCACCUUGCCUAACUCUGGCCCCAAGCACAGCCUCCAAGUGGAGCAGAGGACCCUUCUAUCAGUAGCCCACUCCAGGACAGAGCACCACGAAGGAGUCCUGCCAGGUGCCAAGGGACCGUGAGGACUGUUUGGUCUUCCUCCAGGGAGCACACAGAGCCCAGAGAAAGCUCCACACCUGGAAAAGAUAUUCUCUCACUCAUACGGAAGCCGAGGCUGGAGAAACCCAGGACCAUCUGUGGCCUGGGCAAAGGUCAUCAUAGUCCUCUGCAAAUUUCCUACUAGACACGGUUCGUUCUGCAAAAUGGUGAUUUCAGUCGUGGCUGCUGGAUGGCUGCUGACAAGGCAGUGCGUUGCUGCGUGUGAG